UACGGAGGGUGCAAGCGUUAUCCGGAUUCACUGGGUUUAAAGGGAGCGUAGGCGGGCUGGUAAGUCAGUGGUGAAAUCUUCGAGCUUAACUCGGAAACUGCCGUUGAUACUAUCUGUCUUGAAUACCGUGGAGAUGAGCGGAAUAUGUCAUGUAGCGGUGAAAUGCUUAGAUAUGACAUAGAACACCAAUGGCGAAGGCAGCUCGUUACACGAAUAUUGACGCUGAGGCUCGAAAGUGUGGGGAUCAAACAGG
rnacentral:rRNA from 1 species